rfam:Oryza meridionalis cultivar OR44 (W2112) chromosome 1, whole genome shotgun sequence.
AAUAAGUGCACCAAUAAAUUUCCGCUUAUAACUUUGAUCGUCCGUCUUAUUUUAAUUUUUUUUACGAUUAUUAUUUUUAUUAAUAUUAGAUUGUAAAACAUGAAUAUUACCUUUUACAUAACUUAUGUUUUUAUUUUUUAAAAAAGAAAUUCAAAUAAGACGGAUGAUUAAAGUUGGGCAUGGAAAGUCAUGACUGCGCUUAUU